AAAGCCACCUCAGGCAGCCCCGUCAGAGGGAGGAGAAGAGAAAGUGGCAGGGCCUUCGCUGUGUUCGAUAAGCUCGGGAGGAAGCCGAGCUGCACCUCUCCAAUAGCCAGGAGACCAGAACUGGUCACCGCAGAGGUCCCUGUGGGCGGUGCCCUGGAUGACCAGAAAAAUUACUCCCAGUGCAUUAAACUGGGCUUUUCCCUCAUCCUGAGGGGACGAGCCGGGGAAAAAACAGCCCAGGAGCGCCUCAUUUUCCAAAACAAACGCCCGGCCCGGCUGCCGCGGUGCUCGCCCCGGGCCUGGCACACACCCGGCCGGGGAGGGGCCCGGGGCACCCCCGGCCCCGCCGGCGCUUCGCCCCCGCCCACGGCGCAGCCCCGGCUCCCCCCGGACCCCGGCCCAGCCCGGGCCCAGCCCCGCCUCGGGGCCCUCCCCGCUCCCCCCCCCACGCCCCCAUUCCCCGCCCGUCCGGCGCCCCGCGCAGACCCCACUACCGCCGCCAGGGCACCCCCAGCGCUACCUCCGCUCCCCGCACCGGGCGGCGCUGCUUUUACGCCCCUUUUGCGACGGCCGGAAAGGAGGCGGUGGCAGCGCGCGCCGGGGGCGGGGCCGGGGCAGCGCGAGGACGGCGCGGGAGCGGCUGAGGUGAAGGGGGGGGGCGGGGGGACCCAAACACCGAACCCCAAACCCGUGUUCCUGUCAGCCCUGUCACCCCCUCAGAGAACCCACAACCUCCCCAGCCACCUUUGUCACCCCCCAGCCACCAUCACCCGACCUCUUGGCGACCGCCCGGUGUUCCUGUCACUCCCUGUUACCCCCUCCGAGAUUCUCUGUCACCUCCUCAGGGACCCCUCUUUAUCCCCCUCAGCGACCUUCCGAUGUCCCUGUCACCACGUCAGACACCCCCUUGGAAACCCCUUGUCAUCCCCUCAGAGAUCCCCCAUCCUCAGUGACGCCAUGGCCUCUCUGUCAAUGACCCCCCGGUGUCCCCUGACUCCCUCCAUGUCACCCACCCCACUGCAGCCCCCCCCGGGUGCUCUGCAGUCCCCACUGCCCUUCGGGACCCCCAGAAACCUCAGCUGUCCUCCCUCCCUCUCCUGA
rnacentral:lncRNA from 1 species